ensembl:lincRNA
AAGAAAAGAGUAAGACAAGAACAAAAGAUGGGCCAGCUGUACCUGGCUCGCGCCCAAGGAGGCAGCAGGGAGCUGGAGAGAGUCUGGGUGGAGACGGGGCGGCAUCAGCAGUGUCAAUCUGCAGAAACAGGACCUGAAUUUGGACCAUCCGGGGAAAGGGCCCGUCUCAAUGGCAGGGCAUCACAAAGAAAAGAGUAAGACAAGAACAAAAGAAGGAGUGACGUUCUUUUCUCUCCUAGAAGAUGUCAGAAGCCCGGGUGUGCGUCCCUGAGCACUGGGCCCAGUAGCCUCGCCAUCCUCAAGGUAGAGCGGACCUUGGAAAUCCAUCAAGAGCUCCAGCUUCAGCCUUGGUCACAUGACCCAGCUGAACCAAUCAGGAGGUCAAUAGGAAUAGGCUUCCGUGAUUGGCUGGAGUGGGAGUGGGCGGGGUAGGAAGUGGGGACGGGCGUGGGUUGGAGCGGGCCGUGCUCCCGGCUGUUACAAACCAGCAAACCUCGGGACUCAACGCAACAGAAGUUUGUAGCUUAUGCGCAGCGCAAGCAGGUGUUUUUCUUUCCCACCUGGUAAUUCGAGGGCCGGGCUCCUCCUUCAGCUUCAGAGCGUGGCUUCCAGAGAGUCUGGGCCAGAACGGAAGCGAGGGACGCGUCGUUUUGUCCCUCGUUCCACCAGCUACCAUCAGUCACCAGGCUGGACCAACUGCGAAGAAUGCUGAGAAAUGACUUCCCCAGAGGGAAGAGAAAAUGGGCCUGGAGAUCCCCGGCCACAAACGCCAGGGUGCCGCUGUCUCUGAAGGUGGGGAAACGAUGGAGGUUCAGGGAACUAAUGUCCACCAAGAAAACCCCGUCCCGAAGAAAAGGACAGGAAGCUGCCGUCUGUCUUCUGCAUCACGGAGGUGUCGUCACUGAGAAAAUCCUUCAGGCCGGGGGCCGCACCAGUGGGUGCCAGACAGCUCCUUCAGCACAGUUCCCGGGUUUGGGGACAGUACCCCGCCUUUCCGUACGUGGACCGCAUCCUGGUGACCAGGAGAUGGUUUUCAGUGACACACAAGGCAGCCUUGAGCACCGCUGAACCCUAAAGUAAGAGAGCUCUUUCUCUGUACUUCUCUUUUAAAAUAGUCUUAAUUAGCCGGGCGUGGUGGCGCACGCCUGUCAUCCCAGCACUCGGGAGGCUGAGGCAGGAGGAUCCCUGGGAGUUGGAGACCAGCCUGGGCUACAGAGUGAAUUCCAGGUCAGUCUCAACUACACAGUGAGACCCUGUCUCAAAAAAACAAAACAAGAUAGUCUUAAUUAGGUGCUAAUCUGUCUUUACCUGUUCCUCUGACCCCGGGAAUCUCCCUUUGGACUAAGGAGCCGGUAAGCCCCAGCUCGGAUCCUCAGGGGCCACGGAGUUGGGGCAGAAACUAUUGACAUCACUUCUGUUUGCAGAGUUAUUUUCUACUUAGGGCGAAUGCUCUGGCUUUUCGUUUACCGUUGUGAUAAACAGUCUCCCUUGAAACUGAUUUCAGAUCAUGCAAAGCGGAGCCCAUUGGGAGGAAAAUAUCCGGGAAAUAACUGGGGGCCUAGUCAGGUAGUGACUGAAGUUUGGGGGUGAAAUUUGAGGAGUGAGGCGGGGGCAGCCGACAGACCUGGGUCGCGGUUGCAACCUUGGGCGGAUGCCUCUUCCUCUGCGAUCCUUUGUUUUCUCCGAUGAAAAUGUUUCCAAUCACCUUUGCCUCAUCAAAGGGUUUUGGCCAUGGGUAGGACAGUGCCCUUGUGACCCGGGUGGCAUCCGCUGCCUGUCUGUGUCAGAAGACAAGUAGGGAAGAGAGGUUUGCAAAUUCCGGCUGGAGUUCCAGAGAGUGACCUAUUGCUUUAUUACACAUAGGAAAAAUCUCCCGACCCAGGUCCCUAGGAGAUUUGGGGCGAUCACUCACAGGAAAGAUUCUGGGACCUCUCUCCCCUGCUGCUGCCUCCUUCCUGGGGAGACUGCAGGGCUGAAGGUGGCGCGGGAGGCGUUGUCAGAACUUGCAGUGUUGGAGGAAAGACUUUUUUGUGAGACGGGCUCGCUCUGUAGCCCAGGCUGGCCUUGAACUCUCAGCGAUCGAUCGCCUUGCCUCAGCCUCCCCAGUGCUGGGAUGACAGGCCCGGGCCACCACACCUGGCCUGGGGAGAGACUUCUGAAGAGGGAGUCACAGGGUCUCGGUGUGGAGACCUACAGACAGAGCUCUGGGGAUGCGAGUUCCCCUGGACUAGUGUGUGAGUGAUCGUGCAUGUGUGUGCGCGCGUGUGUGCACAGGAGUCCAGCCUGGUGAUCCGGGCUGAGCCCGACCUUCCGAAGGCCUCCGGCCUGCACCCUCUCCUCCCAUCCCCCACCCUCCCAUCCGCCAGCACCCGGUGUUUUCCCUCGAUGACAUUUGGAAUCUUUUAAUAGUUGUCACAUUAGCAUACAUUUGCAUACUUUAUGCUAAUCAGGCUAUUUAUUUUUGAAGAAGCACUUUGACUCCUGGGCCCUUUUCUCACCGGGAACUGUCGCUUCCUUUUUCCUGGAGACUCUGCUUCCUUGACGGGCAGGCGGACUUGUGCCCCAGCCUGUAGCAAGGACAGACAGGCGCAGACAGGCGCUGGGGAGAGAGACAGUCCCAGCCCAGGCUCUGAGGGGUGCUGGGGCCUGGCUGGGAGGUGGGUGCCGGUCUUGUUCCUGUUUUGCCCACUACUCAGUGGCGUCUGGGCAGGAAGUGCCUCACCCGAAGGAUACGGCUCUAAACUGGGGGUGAGGUGGGGCACGCCUGUCAUCCCAGGUACUCUGGGAGGCUGAGGCGGGAGGAUCUCAAGCCCAAACCCAGCCCAUGUAACUUCGUAACUGAGAGAGCAUGGAGCCAGGCAGGCCAGGUCUGGCUUCCUGGAAACACUAGGGCUGCAGGCUUCACGGGCAUCUGGCUCCAUCUGCCUCUCUGUUGCCUGCCUCAGUUUCUCUCUGCCCUUCCUUAGCCCAGGGCUGGAUCCUGGGGUCUCUUCCUCCUGCGUCCCCUCAGAAGGUUCUUCCCAGUGCUUUACAUCCAUCCGCGCUCUAAGACAACCGCAGCCUUCUCUCUGGCGGGGCCUCCCUAGAUGUCUCCUCACAGGUCUCUCAGGCACCUCACCGAUCGUCUCCCCUUAUCAGCUCUUCCUGUGUCCCCCCAUCUUGCCAGGGUCGGCAUUUGCAGCUGCUUAGCCAGAAUCUGGGUGGCUCUCCUCUCCUCUUUCUAUUACCCUGAACCAGCAACAAGCCUCAGCUGUUCCCUUUUAAGAAGUACAGUGCGCACACCUGUGAUCCCAGCGCUCUGGGAGGCUGAGGCAGGAGGAUCUCAAGUUCAAAGCCAGACCGGAUGACUCAGACUGGAUGACCCUGUCUCAAAAUAAAAAAAGAAAAAGGGCUGGGGAUGGAGCUCCAUCAGAAGUCUCUGGGUUCCAGCCCCAGCUCUCCCAAAAUCAAAAAGAAACUCAUCACAAUCCUAAUGCCACCACGACCACCAACCCCGCAGAGCUCUCUGGCUCCAAAGAAAGAGUUAAAUCCAGUCCGGGGCAGUGAUAUUUGCAAUACAUGAAGUUUAAACAUUUUCAAUAAAGAAAAACGAAUCUGGGCCGUCGUGCUCCGCGAUUUAGAGUAAUUGCAAACCAGCAGUCCCAUUGCUGUAAUUGUCCGGCAGCCGGGGGGUGCCGGGGCCCAGGCAGGCCCUGGGGGGGCGCUGCACCCCGCUCAGGUUAAGCAGAGCGUCACUUUGAUGAUAACGCCAGGAGGAGGCUGCACGGGGAGGAUAAAUAUUACCCCA